UCGGCAGGGGCUUCCAUGGUGCAAACUCUCAAGAAAGCUGGAGACUUUAGAAUCUAAAAAGAAAGAGGUCCAGGAACGGUGGGGGCAGCGUGGUGAGUGGGGUGGCAGAGCUAGUUAGGAGGAAAGGGUACUUGAGCUGGUCAGAUUCAGAGUCAACUUUUCAGAGGCUGAAAUUUAGUUAAGGGCAUAAUCAAGGCUCUGGGCUCCCCGAAGCUUCUAUGGUAUUUGACACACUCGUUCUUCCUCUCUGCUUCCCUCUGCCCCUCUCAUCUUGGUCUCUGAGGAUAGCGUGGGUAUGUCACCAGGAGGUUAGCCUUGAAAGGGUAUUAGUGCCUCCAGCUUCUGUUGCCUGGUAUGGAAAGCUUUGUUGGCUUGAGCCUCCAGCCUGGGUGCUCAGGGGGCAGCCCUGUGUGGGGAGGGCUGCAGGACUAGCCUGUCCUAUCACCUCUCCCCAGAUCUCUCCAUUGGCGUGAGGUCUCUGGCCAGCUUCCUUACUCAUGGGCAGCCAUCAAAUAUCAGUGCCAUGCCAUGUUGGGUGAGGGCAGGCUGGACGUUCAGCGCUGCCCACAGUAGUGAAGGGAGGUGGAGGCUGACUUUUCCCUAAGGAGACUAUAAACACUUUGCAAAUUGCACAUGGGGGUAGCACCAGACCACCCCCCAACCCCCCGCCCCCGGGGCAGGCAGGAGGAUCGCACUGCUUUGAGUUGCUUACACAGGGGUGUGGAUGGUGAGCCGUGCUCCAGUUCUGGCUCCCCAGGGCCCAUUGUCAUAACAGCUCCAUCUGGGUGGUGGCUGCCUGGUCUGCGAGGGCUGGUCCACAGAGGCUGUAAUGUCCAGGGUGCUCCUUGGUUACACAGUGGAGACUCCCCCGGCCUUGGCAAAGUGUCCCUUGCCAGGUUUGAACCCGUGACCUUAACCUCAUUAACAUCAUUAGCCACCUGAGCCCACUGGCCGAGCGCUGGGAUGGGACUCUCCAUCAAACAAAUCUAGUUCAAUUUUCCCUUCUUUCUGCUUCCCUUCCCACCAAAGUUCAACUCCAUCUCUCAUGGUUUAUUUUUUUAAAGAGGAAAAGUGCAAUAAAAUACAUAGUGACUGUUUUCUUUAGCAAUAGCUAUUUCAAAACCUUGUUCUCAGGACUGAAAAGGGAUCGUACCUGGACUCUCAGUUGAUGCCCUUGGCUUCUGGGCAUCGGUUCGCUGUCGCUGUAGUUCCCUCUUCUUCCCACGUGGUCACGUGACUCCUGCCCUCUGAGGCUCAGACCCUCCUGUGGGAUGUAGACACUCACCGGCGAGAGGUCUGCAGGAGAAGGUGUUCUUUGUCGCUCUGACUCUUCCCCAUGUGCACCCCUCUGUCUCCAUCCGUGCCCCUGUCCCUCCCCGCUCCCACCUACCCCUUGGGUCCACCCUCACAUGGCAUUCUCACACCCUCUCGGCACUGAAAUCUUGAGUGUGACUGACCUCACACCUGCCCAUCUCGUGGACUUUGAGUCGGACCGGCAGGGUGAAUGCUCUUACCGAUAGAUAAGAAUAAAGCAUCCUGAGCCAUUACAGAAGAUCGUUUCCACGCACUAAAAGCCAUUACUUGAUCCAUUUGUUUCCCUCCCUCCCCGCUCCUCUGGGAGAUGGAUGCUGGGGGAAGGUGGCCUGAAGGUUUGCACCUGGGAUGGUAGCCUGGGCAGAUUUGGGCAUUACCCUCCGGCUGCCCUUCCAAAUAAGCUGCCUUGUUUAACCAAAGGGGCUCCAUGAGAGCGAUGGAGGGAAGCAGGUGCCUGUGGGUUGAGGUCUGGGUGGUUAGGGCAUGACACCGGUGAAACAAAGACCCCCACCACCCACUACGGUGUACAGUUGCACAAAUAUUUGCACACAUAACUGGGGACUUCAGAAGCGUCUCCUUUCCUGGAAAAAAAAAAAAAAAGAAAGAAACCUGUGAGGUUAUAUUUUCAACGGGACCAUCAGGGAAGGCUGGCAGCUCCAGGGUCCCCUUGUACUCCGUUUCUGUCUACCUUGCUCUAUACGCAUGUAUACAGCAGAACCUCAGUUAACUGAUGGCGAAAUCCUCAGGGAAGGAAGAAUCCCUGUUGCUUUACAAUUAUGGUUAUUUGGGUGGGGCUGGGAAAACAUGUUUUGGUUCAACCUUUGUUGUUGGGGGGGGACUUUCUUAAGUAGGUUAGUAUAAACUUGCCCGCCUUAGUAAGUAGAAUGUUCGAAGAUGACAGAGACAGAAGACCUUGCUCUGCUCAGGGUCAACAUUCUCCCCCUCAGUGCUCAUUGCGUAGUCGUGGAGGUGGAGAAAACCAAAGAAACAGGCGAAAGGGAUGCUGGCUGUAGGACGUACAUACCUGGACUUUGGCUACUUGGGCUCAUCAGAUAAUGCCCUCGCUCUCAUUUGCCUCGUUCGACUGAAAAUGUAGGGAGAAACAUAAUUCUCAUUAGUCGAGGUUUUGGUUAAUUAGUCCUGAGUUAUCCGAGGUUUUUCAUAUAUACAUAUAUCUGUGUAUAUACGUGUAUAGUAUAUGUAUAUAUGUAUACCAUUGUUUCAAAAAUUAUACAAUUAUACAGUGCCCGGUCCCCUUAGCUUCACUAAUGUGGAAGGCGUUUGGCAAUCCAAGAAAUAAACUGCAUUUAUUUGAAUUUUUUAAAUGACCUUCCUUUGCAUUCUUAACAUCUCUCCAGUUCGAUUCUUGUUCUCCUGCAUAGGGAACUUUCUAGAAGGUAGUUCUUUCAUAACAAAAGAUCAGGCUCCAGCAUCUUUCCCUUUCCUCCCAGGUGGCUGCCUGACUCAGGGAUAAAAGGGAAGUCUGAUCUAAGGACCAGGUGCUUUAUCCUUUGUUCUGUCUGCCCUGGUUGGCUGUAACCUCGUCCCUGCAGACCAGAAAAGUUAUUCCAAACUUUGUAGCGCUCGGGGAGUGGGAAGCUUGCAGACCUGGCAAAGGACUGAUCUGUUGAGCUCUCUCUUUGUCAUUGAUGGUGCCCUAGGCUUGAAUUUCAUGAGAUCUGAAAGUGUCCUUUUUAAUGAAGAGCAAAAGAAUGGCUCUGCCCCACACAAGAAGGGGAGAUGCGUAGCAACCACUGGAAGUGAGAAGCCCUUCUGUUGUUGAUUCCGAUCAGAUCUAGGUGGCAAGUGUAGGCAGUCGAGCACCUAUAAUUCAGUCGCCUCUUCGGAGAAACAGCAGGGGCUGAGCUGAACCAUGCUCUGGUUCUCCAUCUCACUGGCAGUGUAUGAGACACAUGGGAGGUUGGUCCAGCCUCACCUCCUGCAGGUGACCGUGUGUGCCCUCCCUAGACCAGGGUGGGAGGGACCCCUCACUGGUAUCUGAUGCAGUGGAGGUGGUGCAGGGGUGCUUGCCCUCCCCCAACACACCCGGCAGCCCCUCCAGUCUGGCCAAGUGGGCAGCCAUCAGACCGUAGAAGCCCAUAACCCAGGCUUAGCCUGCCCAGCUGGUGAACUGAGGCAGCCUGUCUGCACAGCCGCUUCUCACACUGUGUGAACCUCAGCAUGGAAACCGAUAUAACGUCCCGUGCUCCCCUGCAUUCCUCAAAUAGUCAGAUAUGUUCCAGAUGAGCUUGCAGCUGAGAACUGCCUGCAUCAUUCCACCGACGGAUGCGCAGAACAGGUGUAAUUAUAUAAUAAUGUGGACAGCAGCCUCAUCCUCUAGGUAAAGGAGGGCAGUGUAAAUACGGCCGUCCGCUAGGACCUUG
ensembl:lncRNA